AUAAGCGGAGGAAAAGAAACCAACAGGGAUUGCCUCAGUAACGGCGAGUGAAGCGGCAAUAGCUCAAAUUUGAAAUCUGGCUCUUUCAGGGUCCGAGUUGUAAUUUGCAGAGGGCGCUUUGGCGUCGGCAGCAGCCUAAGUUCCUUGGAACAGGUCAUCAUAGAGGGUGAGAAUCCCGUAUGUGGCUGCUUGUCUUCGCCGUGUAAAGCCCCUUCGAUGAGUCGAGUUGUUUGGGAAUGCAGCUCUAAAUGGGAGGUGAAUUUCUUCUAAAGCUAAAUAUUGGCCAGAGACCGAUAGCGCACAAGUAGAGUGAUCGAAAGAUGAAAAGCACUUUGGAAAGAGAGUCAAAAAGCACGUGAAAUUGUUGAAAGGGAAGCGCUUGCAGCCAGACGUGCCCGCAGUUGCUCAUCCGGGGUUCUCCCCGGUGCACUCUUCUGUGGGCAGGCCAGCAUCAGUUCGGGCGGUUGGAGAAAGACCUGUGUCAUGUAGCUGUUUUCGGGCAGUGUUAUAGGGCAGGUGGAAUGCAAUCAGCCGGAACUGAGGUCCGCGCAUCUGCUAGGAUGCUGGCGUAAUGGCUGUAAGCGGCCCGUCUUGAAACACGGACCAAGGAGUCUAACAUCUAUGCGAGUGUUUGGGUGUCAAGCCCGAGCGCGUAAUGAAAGUGAACGGAGGUGGGAACCCUUCGGGGCGCACCAUCGACCGAUCCUGAUGUCUUCGGAUGGAUUUGAGUAAGAGCAUAGCUGUUGGGACCCGAAAGAUGGUGAACUAUGCCUGAAUAGGGUGAAGCCAGAGGAAACUCUGGUGGAGGCUCGCAGCGGUUCUGACGUGCAAAUCGAUCGUCAAAUUUGGGCAUAGGGGCGAAAGACUAAUCGAACUAUCUAGUAGCUGGUUCCUGCCGAAGUUUCCCUCAGGAUAGCAGUAACGUUUUCAGUUUUAUGAGGUAAAGCGAAUGAUUAGAGGCCUGGGGGUUGAAACAACCUUCACCUAUUCUCAAACUUUAAAUAUGUAAGAAGUCCUUGUUUCUUAAUU
rnacentral:rRNA from 1 species